rnacentral:rRNA from 1 species
UGGGGAAUUUUGGACAAUGGGCGAAAGCCUGAUCCAGCCAUUCCGCGUGAGUGAAGAAGGCCUUCGGGUUGUAAAGCUCUUUCGCAAGGAAAGAAAACUUAUCUCCUAAUGAGGUGAGGUUGACGGUACCUUGA